rnacentral:rRNA from 1 species
AACGGCCGUACCAUGCUGAAUAUACCGGUUCUCGUUAGAUCACCGAAGUCAAGCAUCAUUGGGCGUGGUCAAUACUUGGGUGGGUGACCACCUGGGAACACCGCGUGCCGUU